rnacentral:rRNA from 1 species
UACGAAGGGGGGCUAGCGUUGCUCGGAAUCACUGGGCGUAAAGCGUACGUAGGCGGCUUUUUAAGUCAGGGGUGAAAUCCUGGAGCUCAACUCCAGAACUGCCUUUGAUACUGAGAAGCUUGAGUCCGGGAGAGGUGAGUGGAACUGCGAGUGUAGAGGUGAAAUUCGUAGAUAUUCGCAAGAACACCAGUGGCGAAGGCGGCUCACUGGCCCGGUACUGACGC